UACGUAGGGGGCUAGCGUUGUCCGGAAUCAUUGGGCGUAAAGCGCGUGUAGGCGGUCCGGUAAGUCCGCUGUGAAAGUCGAGGGCUCAACCCUCGAAUGCCGGUGGAUACUGUCGGGCUCGAGUCCGGAAGAGGCGAGUGGAAUUCCUGGUGUAGCGGUGAAAUGCGCAGAUAUCAGGAAGAACACCCGUGGCGAAGGCGGUUCUCUGGGACGGUACUGACGCUGAGACGCGAAAGCGUGGGGAGCGAACAGG
rnacentral:rRNA from 1 species